GAUGAACGCUAGCGGCAGGCUUAAUACAUGCAAGUCGAACGGCAAGGACUUUCGGGUCCCUAGAGUGGCGCACGGGUGAGUAACACGUACACAACAUACCCUAUAUUGGAGGAUAGCCUUGGGAAACUGGGGGUAAUAUUCCAUAGUAUUUAUUGGAGGCAUCUCUGAUAAAUUAAAGAGCAAUCGAUAUAGGAUUGGUGUGCGUCCCAUUAGCUAGUUGGUAGGGUAACGGCCUACCAAGGCUACGAUGGGUAGCUGGCGUGAGAGCGCGACCAGCCACACUGGAACUGAGACACGGUCCAGACUCCUACGGGAGGCAGCAGUAGGGAAUAUUGGACAAUGGAGGCAACUCUGAUCCAGCCAUGCCGCGUGGAGGAUGACUGCCCUCUGGGUUGUAAACUCCUUUUGUACAGGAAGAAACCUCCUCAUUUAUGAGUGAGCUGACGGUACUGUAAGAAUAAGCACCGGCUAACUCCGUG
rnacentral:rRNA from 1 species